GGCGCUGUAGUGUAGUGCUUAACACAUUGUACUUUGAAUCCAACAACCCGAGUUCGACUCUCGGUAGUGCUU
rnacentral:tRNA from 1 species